rnacentral:rRNA from 1 species
CAAUAGCGUAUAUUAAAGUUGUUGCAGUUAAAAAGCUCGUAGUUGGAUUUGUGGCGUACGGUGUGUUCCGGGCACUUGUUGUCUGAGUAACCUGCUGUUGCCAUCCUUGGGUGGAACCUGUGUGGCAUUAGGUUGUCGUGCAGGGGAUGCCCAUCAUUUACUGUGAAAAAAUUAGAGUGUUCAAAGCAGGCUUAUGCCGUUGAAUAUAUUAGCAUGGAAUAAUGAGAUAGGACUUUUUUGCUAUUUUGUUGGUUUGCGCAAGAAGGUAAUGGUUAAUAGGGACAGUUGGGGGUAUUCGUAUUCCAUUGUCAGAGGUGAAAUUCUUGGAUUUUUGGAAGACGAACUACUGCGAAAGCAUUUACCAAGGAUGUUUUCAUUAA